rnacentral:rRNA from 1 species
CCUACGGGUGGCAGCAGUGGGGAAUAUUGGACAAUGGGGGAAACCCUGAUCCAGCCAUGCCGCGUGUGUGAAGAAGGCCUUUUGGUUGUAAAGCACUUUAAGCGGGGAGGAGGGCGUUAUGGUUAAUACCCAUAGGCGUCGGACGUUACCCGCAGAAUAAGCACCGGCUAACUCUGUGCCAGCAGCCGCGGUAAUACAGAGGGUGCGAGCGUUAAUCGGAAUUACUGGGCGUAAAGCGCGUGUAGGCGGUUAUGUAAGUUGGAUGUGAAAUCCCCGGGCUUAACCUGGGCACUGCAUUCAAAACUGCAUAGCUAGAGUAUGGGAGAGGAAGGUAGAAUUCCAGGUGUAGCGGUGAAAUGCGUAGAGAUCUGGAGGAAUACCGAUGGCGAAGGCAGCCUUCUGGCCUAAUACUGACGCUGAGAUGCGAAAGCAUGGGGAGCAAACAGGAUUAGAUACCCCAGUAGUC